rnacentral:rRNA from 1 species
UACAGAGGUCCCAAGCGUUGUUCGGAUUCAUCGUGGCGUAAAGGGUGCGUAGGCGGCGCGGUAAGUCGGGUGUGAAAUCUCGGGGCUUAACUCCGAAACUGCAUUCGAUACUGCCGUGCUUGAGGACUGGAGAGGAGACUGGAAUUCCCGGUGUAGCAGUGAAAUGCGUAGAUAUCGGGAGGAAUACCGAUGGCGAAGGCAGGUCUCUGGGCUAUAACUGACGCUGAGGAGCGAAAGCGUGGGGAGCGAACAGG